rnacentral:rRNA from 1 species
UAGGGUCUUUACCUAGGUAGGCUAUCACGGGUAACGGGCGGUUACCGUCGGACUGCCGGAGAAGGCGCCUGAGAGAUAGCGACUAUAUCCACGGGUAGCAGCAGGCGCGAAACUUUCCCACUCGAGACAUUCGGAGGAGGUAAUGACCAGUUUCAUCCGAGGCUUAUGCCUCAUUGAAUAGGAUCACGCUUUUCUAGCGUGGUGCAAUCUAGCAGAGGGCCAGUCUGGUGCCAGCAGCUGCGGUAAUUCCAGCUCUGCGAGUUUGCUCCCAUAUUGUUGCAGUUAAAACGCCCGUAGUCUGAAUUGACCUCAUUGGUCAUAAGUUAAACACGUUCACUGUGAACAAAUCAGGACGCUUAGAGUAUGGUUCAGGAAUGACUCAGCGCAGUAUGAAGUUUUUGUUCUUUUUAAGAACAAGCUCAACGAGAGCCAUCGGGGGUAGAUCUAUUUCAUGGCGAGUGGUGGAAUACGGUGACCCAUGAGAGAGACACUAAGGCGAAGGCAUCUACCUAGAGGGUUUCUGUCGAUCAAGGGCGAGAGUAGGAGUAUCCAACCGGAUUAGAGACCCGGGUAGUUCCUACUGUAAACUAUGCCGUCAAGGGUUUGUCAUUUGUUAAUGGCAGAACCUUUUGAGAAAUCAUAGUUCUUGGGCUCUGGGGGAACUACGACCGCAAGGCUGAAACUUGAAGGAAUUGACGGAAGGGCACACCAGGGGUGGAGCCUGUGGCUUAAUUUGAAUCAACACGGGGAAACUUACCAGGACCAGAUGUUUUUUAUGACUGACAG